rnacentral:lncRNA from 1 species
GCUCAAUGACUACAUUGUUAACAAGUUUUAUAGUUGGCCCUAAAAAUGGUCUGUAAACAGAUACCAGUUCAAAAUGAGAAAAUUCUAAAAAAAAAAAUCUUAUUUCUGAAGUGUUUCUUAUUUCUGAAGUAUUUCUUAUUUCUGAAAUAUCAGACUAAAAGAGAACUCCCAAUUCUUUAAUGGUAAAGAGAAAAAUAUAGAUGCAAAAAAUAAAUUAAGAGAAAGGAACAGAGUAAUAUUUUUUGUGGCUCAGAGGAAGUAAGACACAUACAAAAGAUAAAUAAUAUCACCUGUUGAAACGAUAUAUACUGCAUAGAACAGAAGUAAAUUUUAACCAGCAUCCAUAAAAGUCAAAGAAACACAGGUAAAUUUCAAGUACUGUCUUUAAAAGUCAAGGAAACAUGUUUGAGGCAAAAUAGUAGAUUUAAGAUUAGAUAGACGUGCAGUAGAAGAAGAUUGAUAUGGUUUGAAUCUGUGUCCCCAUCCAAAUCUAAUGUUCAGUUGCAAUUCCCAGUUUUGGAGUUGGGGUCUGGUGGGAGGUGAUUGGAUCAUAGGGGCAGUUUCUCAAGUAUCAUUUAGUACCAUCCCCCUAGUGCCGUUUUUGUGAUAGAGUUCCCAUGAGAUCUUUCUUUAAAGCUGUGUAGCACCUCCUCCCUCUCUCUUUUCCUCGGGCUUCAGACAGAUGUGUCUGCUUCCUCUUCACCUUUUGCCAUGAUUUUAAGUAUUCUGAGGCCUCCCCAGAAGCUGAUGCCACCAUGCUUUCUGAACAGCCUACAGAACCACAAUCUAAUAAAGCCUCUUUCCUUGUAAGUUACCAAGUCUCAGAUAAUCCUUUAUAGAAAAGCCAGAGUGGACUAACAUACAUCCUGUGCCUGGAAAAGUCACAAACACUCAAUGCCAGCCUGUGAGAACAGCUUUGGUGGCUGAACCCUGAAAAAUCACAGGAGUAGAACUUCUGAAGCCUUUGGGAGCCUACCUUUUGCAUCAGUGUGCCCUACGUGUGGGACAUGAAGUCAAAGGUGAACGGUUCCAGCAUUUGUCUCUUCUGUAUAAUGUUGGCUGUGGAUGUGAUCACUCUUCAGUGUAUCUGAACUUACCUGGUGACUAUGGCAAUGGACAGUCAUUCAGAAAUCAGGCUCUGGGAGGCUUUGCUUUCUUCAGUAAAUGCCUUCUAAGGUCUUUUGGGAAUCUUCUCCAUUCCAGCUAAUGAGAAAAAGAGAGUAUUUUGGGUCAGUUCUGGAAAUGGUACAAUUAUUUUUGGAAAUGUUACUUUCUGUAUCUAUUUCUGUGUAAAGAAUCACUCCAACACUCCAUGUCCUAAAACAACUACAAUGUUUCCCCUGAAACACACAAUUUCAUGAUUUGAUUGAGUUGAUCUUCUGCUUGAUUUGGCUAAGUUAGUGGCUGCAUUCAGCUGAUGGAUCAGAUGGGACCUGGUCAAGUACUCUUUCAUUUUAGGCUUUGCUUUUCUAUGCCUACGCUUUUCAUUGCUUUUCUAAGCCUAUGCUUUGGAGAAGCCUAAAAUGAAAGACUAAA